rnacentral:rRNA from 1 species
GACAGAGGUGCCGAGCGUUAGGCGGAAUCACUGGGCUUAAAGCGUGUGUAGGCGGGCCCGUAAGUGUCUUGUGAAAUCCCACGGCUCAACCGUGGAACUGCUGGGCAUACUGCGGGUCUUGAGCGGCCUAGGGGCAGACGGAACAAGUGGUGGGAGCGGAUGAAAUGCGUAGAUAUCACUUGGAACGCCGGACGGUGAAAACAGUCUGCUGGGGGCCUGCUGACGCUGGAGACACGAAAGCCAGGGGAGCGGAACGGG